UUUUUGCCCUGUUUAAGUGAUUCCCCUGAAGUGGUCUUUUAUUUUAAGUCAGGGAAGCAGAGCUGGAUCUCCCAAGUGGAUCCUGUAUAUACAUGGAGAUUUUCAGAAAAGUCACCAGCAACCCAAUACUAGAUGCAAGUCACACAAAAGUAUCCCCCCCAAAACAGAUACAUCUUUUUCUUUCUCCCCAUCUUGCUUUACACCAAAUAAUGCUCUUUAAGUUGUGUACAAAAACAGAUUUCUUCCCUCUUAACAUCUUUCUGAUGUGUUACUUCAGAAUUCUAAUUUUGUCUCUGUUUCUUAUUAACAUCUGACACAGAAAAUUUUCCUUUCCGUGUGUGCUAUGUAUCUGAGGUUUUCAAGUUUAAAAAAUGUGCCAGUAUGGAUAUA
rnacentral:lncRNA from 1 species